UAAUAAGUGUUUUAUGGCACUUUUUAAAUCCAUAUCCACCUUGUGUGCAAUGUCAGUCGAUCUUCUUCAUGGAGAUCGACCAAACAUCAACCUUUAUUUUUUACUCUUUGUCUGAAAAAUAUUAUGAAUAAACAAUUCAAAAUA
rnacentral:misc_RNA from 1 species